UUUUGCUGUUCCUAAAAAACAAAUCCAAAAAACAAAACACAUUAAGAAGAAAAAGGCUUAAGUUCAUUAACGAAGAAGUAAAACGACGAGACGACCAUUUUGUUCAAUAAUAAAAGAAGAAACAACAAGUUUUAUUUGCUGCAAGAAGACUGUACACAUAGA